AUGGACCAUUCCAUCCCUUUUUCCCGUGCAUAUGCAUCGGACUCGGAUGACGAUGGUCCCGAUGAACAAGUUGAUGCGGAGGGGUUCACGGUGAAGGAGGCCGAAGCUUUCGAGGAGGUAUUUGGUCGGGAUCAUCGGACUACAUUGUUCAAGGAUGUUAGUCUCGCGGAUGAAGCCGUGGUAGAUGGUGGCCAAUGUGUAGCUCUUGGGGUUAGGCCAAGCUCUCACCGUGAUUUGGUAGACGACAAGAACCGGAUUGCUAAAGGUUCUAAGUUCGACAGCUUGUUGGAUUUGAAGAUGUGGCUCGACAACUACUCGGUUACGCAUUAUCGUCCACACAAGGUGGUGCACUCGGACGUCAAUGUGCGCUACACGGUUGCAUGUGCAUGUGAAGAUGAAAAGGAGGUCCAACUUGGACUUACAAGAGGCCGUGGUGGUGGUAGAGGUCGUGGAAAGGAGGUCCAACAAGGAGUGGCAAGACGCCGUGGCGGUUGUCCGUGGAUUGUGCGUGCAAGACCAUGGAAAGGAGGUCCUACUUGGCAUGUAGUGAGUUGUGUGCCAACUCACAUGUGCCAAGGCAAAAGGGUGGAUGGCAAGAUUGUGUCCCAAGACCACAAACAACUCACGUCCGAGUUCAUCGCUUACAGGCUCUCAAACUCAAUAUCCACACUUCCAACAAUGAGCGUCCAACAUGUCAUUGACCUUGUGAAAGCCAUCUUUCAUUACCAGGUGAAAUACGGCAAGGCAUGGAAGGCGAAGCAAGCCGCAUUUAAGAUGUUGUAUGGUACAUGGGAGGAAGCAUACAACCGAAUCCCUAGGUUGUUGUUAGCCAUGGCCGCGACAAACCCGGGCAUGGUUCAUGUGGUCGAGCCUCAUGGGCACCAAACAACGGUUCAUGAAGGAAGGAAAGUCAGAGUAUUUGGCCGUGCUUUUUGGGCGUUCGAGCAAUGUGUGAGGGCUUUCGAACAUUGUAGGCCGGUCAUUGCAAUUGAUGGCACGUUCUUGACCGGACAAUACAAGGGCACCUUGUUGGUUGCGAUAGCAAGUGAUGCCAAUAACUGGGUGUUGCCAUUGGCAUUUGCUUUGGUUGAGGUGGAAAACAAUGACAACUGGGAGUGGUUUCUGCAUCUUUUGAGGACGAAGGUGUUACCCGCUCAAAGGGAAAUUUGUGUCAUAUCGGAUCGGAAUCAAGGAAUUCUUAACGCCGUGGAGAUUGACAUUCCCGGGCAUGCUCCGUUGCACCAUCGAUGGUGCAUGAGGCACUUUUGUUCGAACUUCUAUAGGGCAUGUGGCCUUAAGGAGUUGGCCGAUGAUCUUCAAGAUUGUUGUCUCGCUUUCUCCGAUAAGCGCUUCGCCACUUUGUACAACAAAUUGCUCGCACACAAAAAACUUGAUCCCGGGGGUCAAGAGUUUCUCAAUAGGCACAUUCAAUACCGGAACAAGUGGGCACGUGCUUUUGAUGAAGAUGGCCGGAGAUACGGUCAAAUGACAAGCAAUAUGGCCGAAUGCUUCAAUAGGGUGCUCAAAGGUGCACGUGGAUUACCCGUGACGGCAAUAGUUCAAUACACAUUUGACAAGAUGAAUGCGUACUUUGUAAAGUACUCGAUGGAAACCGAUGCACAAAUAGCGGGUGAGAACCCACGGAAGUACAAGUACAAGUUCCCACCCAAAGUUGAUGAAUGGUUGCUAUUUCAAUCACGGAAGGCGGACUCAGAAGAAGCUAUAUUAUAUGACAAUGAGGAGUGGAAGUACGAAGUGAAAGAGCCAGGAGGAACCACAAACGAUGGCCGGCAACAUGGAGGUCGGGCUUUCAAGGUGUCGUUAACACAAUGUGAUUGCACUUGCGGGAGGCCAUUGUUGCUUCAUCUCCCAUGCUCACAUUUGUAUACCGCCGGCCGCGUUAGGAAUGUGGACAUCAAUCACCCACGCAUGGCCCAAUCCUUGAUCUUUCGCUGCUUUUUCCUAUCCAACCUGCAAGUUAGAAACAAGAUAUUAGCAUCAUCGAAACCGUCGAGAAGCUGCUAA
rnacentral:rRNA from 1 species